CCCUUAGAUGUUCUGGGCUGCACGCGUGUUACAAUCGGGAGUACAACAAGAUUGCAAAUCCUAGUGGAUGAGUGGUUCUUCGAAAUUUUCUGAAGACUGGGAUAGUUGAUUGAAAUUAUUCAACUCGAACGAGGGAUUCCUUGUAAUUGUAAUUCAUUAUAUUGUAAUGAAUACGUCCCUGCCCUUUGUACACACCGCCCGUCGCUCCUACCGAUUGAACGAUCCGGUGAAUUAUUUGGAGUAGCUCUGGAAGUUGCAGAACUUCCUAUGUCACGAAAUUUUGUAAACCUUAUCGUUUAGAGGAAGGAAAAGUCGUAACA
rnacentral:rRNA from 1 species